rnacentral:lncRNA from 1 species
AUUCAAUAAUAUAUAUUUUAAAAUUACAUGCAAUUCACUUUACCAGUAAAUUUACCAUUUUGAAGUAAGGAAACAUUGGGAUAAUAUUCAACAAAUAAUAAGAGUGUUUAUUCAUUUCCAAAUUAUGGAUAGCUGGAAGACAGAAGAGGGAAGAACAGAAUUUGGGAGGGAAAUUCAAUUAAAUGAAAUGACCAGAUCACAAACCUCAAAAGCGCCAGCUGGACUGGCUGAGAUCUUUCACACUUCUUUAGUAGCCUGCAUUUCAGACCCUGAGAACUGCUUAUUCUUUCAGUUCUUAUACUCCUCACUCCUACAACUCCAAUGACCCAGCUUCCAAAACCACUCGCAACCCUCCAAGUCCUCUCUUCUGCUGGGACACGGCUGUUGGCUGCUUUUUUUUUUUAGGCCAUCGGCAUCUCAGUAAAAGGCACUGCCAUCCAUCUUACGUGCCCAAGCCAGAAGCUCGUGUGUGUGUGCGUGCACAGCCGUGUCUGACUGCCACCCCAUGGACUGAAAUCUACCAGGCUCCUGUGCCUAUGAAUUUUCUAGGCAGGAACACUGGGGUGCAUUGCCAUUUUCUACUCCACCUUGAUUCUUCUCUUCCUCCUUUCCAACUAGCAGCAGGCCCUGGUGUUUCUACCUCUUACAUACUUAUCCCCUGCCACCAGCUUAGACCAAAGGAACCAUUCUCUUCCUUGCCUCUUAAUUGGUCUGCUCACUUUCUGAUACACAGUCACAAUGACCUUUUAAAUAUGUUUAUCACAUCUCCCUGAGGCCUAAAAUGACUCUGUGGCUUCCCACUGCGCUACCAUCCAGACCAACAACUUACAAGCCUUCCCCUCACUUCAUGCCCUUCUCCCCUGGCUCACUGGGCUCUACCCACAGCCUCCAUUCGGUUCCCAGAAAAGAGAGAACUCUACUGCCUGAUCUCCUUAGUUAACACCCAUUCCCUGUACCGGAAAUGCUCUCCCCACCAUCCUUCCUUACUAGACUUUUUCCCAUUCUUCGGUUAAAUGUUCCCUUCUCAGACAUUAGGCAGUGACCCUCUCCUCUACCCUUAGCCUUACAGCAUUCUAACGUAUUCAGAUUCAGGCAUCUUGGCACAAUGUGAUUUUAUUUACAUUUUUUGGGUCUGUCUACCCCUUACUAGAACAGCUGCUCUAUGAAGAUGUGCCAGCCUUGCUCGCCGAUUAAAAAAAAGUGAGACAGAGAGAGAGCCAUGACAACAGUUCGCCAUCCACACCGACGAAAGGAGCAAGCCAAGGAGGAAAAACGUCCUUCAAACGGAUUUUCCCAACACAGCACCUGGGGACCUUUAGAAUUAUUACAGCAGCCAAGGCCUUAGUCUCGGCCUCCCGGGAAGACUGAGCCUGGCGUGUGUGCGGGUGUCCGCUUUUACUGUUGCGAUCUCUUCCCCGAGCUCCUCAGAGCUCCGAAUACCUAAAGAGGCAGGUACCGGGAUGGAGAGGAGCCCAGCACGUUCUACAAAUCACUCCAACUGUGGCUCCCCUUUUAAAGAGAAGAACCCAAUUACCCGACCCCACCUCAGCUUUGCACCUGUCCUGCUUCUGGUUGGGCCAGCGGACCCAACAGAAUCACCUAAUUCUUCCACCUCGGCCGCACGGGAAGCAUCGAAGGGGGCGGGACUGGUCCUGCGCUCCCGCCCCUCUCCUCCCAGCUAGUUCCUUCUUCCUUCCGGAAGCUCGGGGGCCCCGCCCACUUCCGCAAUGCCGGGCCUCAGCCAAUGGCCUGCGUCCCAGGGAACGUUACCUCUGACCUCAGGGCUAAUCAGAAACAGUAGGACGAACUCCUCGCGAGAGGUGAGGUUGAAGCUGCCUCCGCCAUCUUGGAGAUGGGAGACGGGCGAUGGCUGUGGUCUUUCCGCUAAUGCAAACAACAAAACGGGCACAUUAGUGACUCCCGAGUGAGGCCCUCAUCAGUCUGGUUGUUGGCCAAAGCUACAGAAGAAGCGAGGGUGUCAAAGCAGAGCGCGGCGACACUGGUAACAGCCUCAACUGCCUGCUGGGGCGGCAGAAGUGA